rnacentral:rRNA from 1 species
UGGGGAAUAUUGCGCAAUGGACGAAAGUCUGACGCAGCGACGCCGCGUGUGGGAUGACGCCUUUCGGGGUGUAAACCACUGUUGCCCGGGACGAAAUGCCCUUUCGAGGGAAUUGACGGUACCGGGUGAGGAAGCACCGGCUAACUCUGUGCCAGCAGCCGCGGUAAUACAGAGGGUGCGAGCGUUGUCCGGAAUCACUGGGCGUAAAGGGCGCGUAGGUGGCUGGGUAAGCGUGUGGUGAAAGUCCGUGGCUCAACCCCGGAUCUGCCGUGCGAACUGCUUGGCUUGAGCACUGUAGAGGCAGGUUGGAAUUUCGGGUGUAGCGGUGGAAUGCGUAGAUAUCCGAAAGACACCAGUGGCGAAGCGGCCUGCUGGGCAGUUGCUGACGCUGAGGCGCGACAG